AGGAUCCCAGACAAGUCUGGAAGCAGUGGGAGUGACAACAUCAUCACUGAGGAGAAGUUACUGGGCAGUGACAUAGAGAUUCUCCCUCUCUGGUAGAAGAGGACCUCAGUGACCACCAUGGAUAAAGAAGCAAGUCACCUUAACACUCUGUCAGAAGACAGGGAGGUGAGUGUAUG
rnacentral:lncRNA from 1 species